rnacentral:lncRNA from 1 species
UUGGACGCGGCUGUGCCCGCGACUUCCCGCGGGCACCCCGAGGCCCCUCGCAAAGUCUCGCCCCAUUCCGAGUCCGGCGGACAAACUUCGCCCGCGCCCCCCACCAAGGCUAUAGCCCACCCGUUUUUUGGCCAUUUUUCCGCUGGGGUGUUUUGGCACCACGACCUUCGGGCGCUUAUUUUUGGAUGCGGCUGUGCCCGCGACUUCCCGCGGGCACCUCGAGGCCCCUCGAAAAGUCUCGCCCCUUUCCGAGUACGGAGGACGAAUUUCGGCCCGGGCCACCCACCAAGGCUAUAGCCCACCCGUUUUUUACCAAUUUUUCCGCUGGGGGGUUUUGGCACCACGACCUUCGGGAGCUUAUUUUUGGGCGCGGCUUUGCCCGCGGCUUAUUUUUGGCACCCCGAGGCCCUGCGCAAAGUCUCGCCCCAUUUCGAGUCCGGCGGACGAACUUCGCCCGCGCCCCCCACCAAGGCUAUAGCCCACCCGUUUUUUGGCCAUUUUUCCGCUGGGGGGUUUUGGCACCACGACCUUCGGGCGCUUAUUUUUGGACGUGGCUGUGCCCGCGACUUCCCGCGGGCACCCCGAGGCCCCUCGCAAAGUCUCGCCCCAUUCCGAGUCCGGCGGACAAACUUCGCCCGCGCCCCCCACCAAGGCUAUAGCCCACCCGUUUUUUGGCCAUUUUUCCGCUGGGGUGUUUUGGCACCACGACCUUCGGGCGCUUAUUUUUGGAUGCGGCUGUGCCCGCGACUUCCCGCGGGCACCCCGAGGCCCCUCGCAAAGUCUCGCCCCAUUCCGAGUCCGGCGGACGAACUUCGCCCGCGCCCCCCACCAAGGCUAUAGCCCACCCGUUUUUUGGCCAUUUUUCCGCUGGGGGGUUUUGGCACCAAGACCUUCGGGCGCGGCUUUGUCCGCGGCUUAUUUUUGGCACCCCGAGGCCCCUCGCAAAGUCUCGCCCCAUUCCGAGUCCGGCGGACGAACUUCGCCCGCGCCCCCCACCAAGGCUAUUGCCCACCCGGUUUUUGGCCAUUUUUCCGCUGGGGGGUUUUGGCACCACGACCUUCAGGCGCUUAUUUUUGGACGCGGCUGUGCCCGCGACUUCCCGCGGGCACCCCGAGGCCCCUCGCAAAGUCUCGCCCCAUUCCGAGUCCGGCGGACGAACUUCGCCCGCGCUCCCCACCAAGGCUAUAGCCCACCCGUUUUUUGGCCAUUUUUCCGCUGGGGGGUUUUGGCACCACGAUCUUCGGGCGCUUAUUUUUGGGCGCGGCUUUGCCCGCGGCUUAUUUUUGGCGCCCCGAGGCCCCGCGCAAAGUCUCGCCCCAUUCCGACUCCGGCGGACGAACUUCGCCCGCGCCGCCCACCAAGGCUAUAGCCCACCCGUUUUUUGGCCAUUUUUCCGCUGGGGGGUUUUGGCACCACGACCUUUGGGCGCUUAUUUUUGGGCGUGGUUUUGCCCGCGGCUUAUUUUUGGCGCCCCGAGGCCCCGCGCAAAGUCUCGCCCCAUUCCGAGUCCGGCGGACAAACUUCGCCCGCGCCCCCCACCAAGGCUAUAGCCCACCCGUUUUUUGGCCAUUUUUCCGCUGGGGGGUUUUGGCACCACGACCUUCGGGCGCUUAUUUUUGGACGUGGCUGUGCCCGCGACUUCCCGCGGGCACCCCGAGGCCCCUCGCAAAGUCUCGCCCCAUUCCGAGUCCGGCGGACGAACUUCGCCCGCGCCCCCCACCAAGGCUAUAGCCCACCCAUUUUUUGGCCAUUUUUCCGCUGGGGGGUUUUGGCACCACGACCUUCGGGUGCUUAUUUUUGGACGCGGCUGUGCCCGCGACUUCCCGCGGGCACCUCGAGGCCCCUCGCAAAGUCUCGCCCCAUUCCGAGUCCGGCGGACGAACUUCGCCCGCGCCCCCCACCAAGGCUAUAGCCCACCCGUUUUUUGGCCAUUUUUCCGCUGGGGGGUUUUGGCACCACGACCUUCGGGCGCUUAUUUUUGGACGUGGCUGUGCCCGCGACUUCCCGCAGGCACCCCGAGGCCCCUCGCAAAGUCUCGCCCCAUUCCGAGUCCGGCGGAUGAACUUCGCCCGCGCCCCCCACCAAGGCUAUAGCCCACCCGUUUUUUGGCCAUUUUUCCGCUCAGAGGUUUUGGCACCAAGACCUUCCGGCGCUUAUUUUUGGGCGCGGCUUUGUCCGCGGCUUAUUUUUGGCACCCCGAGGCCCCUCGCAAAGUCUCGCCCCAUUCCGAGUCCGGCGGACGAACUUCGCCCGCGCCCCCCACCAAGGCUAUUGCCCACCCGGUUUUUGGCCAUUUUUCCGCUGCGGGGUUUUGGCACCACGACCUUCAGGCGCUUAUUUUUGGACGCGGCUGUGCCCGCGACUUCCCGCGGGCACCCCGAGGCCCCUCGCAAAGUCUCGCCCCAUUCCGAGUCCGGCGGACGAACUUCGCCCGCGCUCCCCACCAAGGCUAUAGCCCACCCGUUUUUUGGCCAUUUUUCCGCUGGGGGGUUUUGGCACCACGACCUUCGGGCGCUUAUUUUUGGGCGUGGCUUUGCCCGCGGCUUAUUUUUGGCGCCCCGAGGCCCCGCGCAAAGUCUCGCCCCAUUCCGAGUCCGGCGGACGAACUUCGCCCGCGCCCCCCACCAAGGCUAUAGCCCACCCGUUUUUUGGCCAUUUUUCCGCUGGGGGGUUUUGGCACCACGACCUUCGGGCGCUUAUUUUUGGGCGCGACUUUGCCCGCGGCUUAUUUUUGGCGCCCCGAGGCCCCGCGCAAAGUCUCGCCCCAUUCCGAGUCCGGCGGACGAACUUCGCCCGCGCCCCCCACCGAGGCUAUAGCCCACCCGUUUUUUGGCCAUUUUUCCGCUGGGGGGUUUUGGCACCACGACCUUUGGGCGCUUAUUUUUGGGCGCGGCUUUGCCCGCGGCUUAUUUUUGGCGCCCCGAGGCCCCGCGCAAAGUCUCGCCCCAUUCCGAGUCCGGCGGACGAACUUCGCCCGCGCCCCCCACCGAGGCUAUAGCCCACCCGUUUUUUGGCCAUUUUUCCGCUGGGGGGUUUUGGCACCACGACCUUCGGGCGUUUAUUUUUGGGCGCGGCUUUGCCCGCGGCUUAUUUUUGGCACCCCGAGGCCCCGCGCAAACUCUCGCCCCAUUCCGAGUCCGGCGGACGAACUUCGCCCGCGCCCCCCACCAAGGCUAUAGCCCACCCGUUUUUUGGCCAUUUUUCCGCUGGGGGGUUUUAGCACCACGACCUUCGGGCGCUUAUUUCUGGACGCGGCUGUGCCCGCGACUUCCCGCGGUCACCCCGAGGCCCCUCGCAAAGUCUCGCCCCAUUCCGAGUCCGGCGGACGAACUUCGCCCGCGCCCCCCACCAAGGCUAUAGCCCACCCGUUUUUUGGCCAUUUUUCCGCUGGGGGGUUUUGGCACCACGACCUUCGGGCGCUUAUUUUUGGGCGCGGCUUUGCCUGCGGCUUAUUUUUGGCACCCCGAGGCCCCUCGCAAAGGCUCGCCCCAUUCCGAGUCCGGCGGACGAACUUCGCCCGCGCCCCCCACCAAGGCUAUAGCCCACCCGUUUUUUGGCCAUUUUUCCGCUGGGGGGUUUUGGCACCACGACCUUCGGGCGCUUAUUUUUGGGCGCGGCUUUGCCCGCGGCUUAUUUUUGGUACCCCGAGGCCCCUCGCAAAGUCUCGCCCCAUUCCGAGUCCGGCGGACGAACUUCGCCCGCGCCCCCCACCAAGGCUAUAGCCCACCCGUUUUUUGGCCAUUUUUCCGCUGGGGGGUUUUGGCACCACGACCUUCGGGCGCUUAUUUUUGGGCGCGGCUUUGCCCGCGGCUUAGUUUUGGCACCCCGAGGCCCCUCGCAAAGUCUCGCCCCAUUCCGAGUCCGGCGGACGAACUUCGCCCGCGCCCCCCACCAAGGCUAUAGCCCACCCGUUUUUUGGCCAUUUUUCCGCUGGGAGGUUUUGGCACCACGACCUUCGGGCGCUUAUUUUUGGGCGCGGCUUUUCCCGCGGCUUAUUUUUGGCACCCCGAGGCCCCUCGCAAAGUCUCGCCCCAUUCCGAGUCCGGCGGACGAACUUCGCCCGCGCCCCCCACCAA